UCUUGCUCGAUAACUCUAGUCCUAAAUGUGGGAUUGGGUGUUGGUAACGACAAGGGAUGUGGAACUGGACAUCUAAAUCCGUCUGUAAAUUGUUGUUCCGGUUACAUAAAAAUUGAAAAUACAUGUACAGAAUGUAUUGGGUUCUACGGAAAAGAUUGUUCUACAAAGUGUCCAUCUGGAUUUUAUGGAAAAUUAUGUAAAGAAGAAUGUAGGUGUAACGAAACAGAAACUUGCGAUCCGUA